CUACAGAUAACUGAGAAUCUCUUUACAGGGGGACGCAAGACGGAGCAGGAAAAUAGAAACAUGAGGUACUGAAGAAAGAUUGAUUAACCACAGAAUGUGAACAUGAUGCUCAGAAGUAGAGCAGCUUUCUUAAGGCCAUGAGGAAGAAAGCUGUACGUUAAGGAUGGAAGAUAAUGACAACAGAAGAAGCCUGGUUUCCUAAUGACACCCUUGAGCAGCUUUGAUAGCCCUGACCACCUACCUUCCAGAUUUUUGACUGAAGAAAUUUAAUCAACUUAUUAUGAUGAUGAAGCAAAAACAUUAUAGAAGUGUGAUAGUUAGAAAUAGUAGCAAUGUUUGAAAAAGGGUUUUUAAUAUAAGGCAGAUUCUUUCCCUUUCUUCCUAUCAUAGAAAAUGUGAUUAACUAAAGGGUGUUAUUAUUACUUUACUUUUAGAAUGUCUUUACUUUUAGAAUGACAGAAUUUUUCUAUAGUAUAACCAACAUAAGUUUCGCUUAGUUAAAUAUGUAUUAAAAUGAAUCAGAGGUAUCGUCUGAAAGUUAGGCUGUAAGUUAUGACAGAUUGAUGAUAAAAAUAUAGUUCCCAUUGUUUUUACUCAUGCAUAAGAGUUUCAAUACUCUCACAUAAAUAUGGUUUCUUCUUGAACUUCAGUCAGAAGCAUUUAUUUGUCUCAGGAAAAUAAAAUUAGUUUUAAAGGUACUAAUAUUAUUUCAAGGGUACUAACGAUGGGUGGGACAAGUUUUCACUUUUUAAAUUAAAAAAUAUCAAUUUUGUAUUCCUUUAAGGUAUCCUAGGGUUUAUUUACAUCAUUCUUCUGUGUUCC
rnacentral:lncRNA from 10 species